rnacentral:rRNA from 1 species
CGGGGCUUAAAGUCUUGUAAUUGGAAUGAUGGGAAUUUAAACCUCUUCCAGAGUAUCAAUUGGAGGGCAAGUCUGGUGCCAGCAGCCGCGGUAAUUCCAGCUCCAAUAGCGUAUAUUAAAAUUGUUGCAGUUAAAAAGCUCGUAGUUGAAUUUCUGCUGCAUUGCUUGUGUCCCUCUGGGGUCUGUGCAUGUGGCUUUUUUCGGACGGGGUUUCUUUGUCUGAAUGUUUACUUUGAGAAAAUUAGAGUGCUCAAAGCAGGCUUUCGCCUUGAAUAGUUUAGCAUGGAAUAAUAAAGUAGGACUUUGGUUCUAUUUUGUUGGUUUUAGGUACCAAAGUAAUGGUUAAUAGGAACAGUUGGGGGCAUUCGUAUUUAACUGUCAGAGGUGAAAUUCUUAGAUUUGUUAAAGACGAACUACUGCGAAAGCAUUUGCCAAGGAUGUUUUCAUUAAUCAAGAAC